rnacentral:rRNA from 1 species
UAGUACGGCGAGUGAAGAGGGAAGAGCCCAAGAUUGAAAGCUGGCGUCUUCGGCGUCCGCAUUGUAAUCUCAAGAAGUGUUUUCCGCUUCGGACCAUGCCUAAGUCCCUUGGAAAAGGGCAUCAUAGAGGGUGAUAAUCCCGUACAUGGCAUGGAGCGCCCGAAGCUUUGUGAUACGCUUUCUAAGAGUCGAGUUGUUUGGGAAUGCAGCUCAAAAUGGGUGGUAAAUGCCAUCUAAGGCUAAAUAUUGGGGAGAGACCGAUAGCGAACAAGUACAGUGAUGGAAAGAUGAAAAGAACUUUGAAAAGAGAGUUAAACAGUACGUGAAAUUGCCAAAAGGGAAGGGUAGGAGGUCAGAGAUGCGGCCUGGGAUUCAGCCUUGCUUUUGCUUGGUGUUUUUCCCAGAUUGCAGGCCAACGUCGGUUUUGGGCACUGGAGAAGGGUAGGAGGAACGUGGCACCUCUCGGGGUGUGUUAUAGCCUCCUACUGGAUACAGCGACCGAGACCGAGGACAGCAGCGUACUCGCAAGAGCGGGCCUUCGGGCACCUUUACGCUUAGGGCGUUGGCAUAAUGGCCCUCUACCACCCGUCUUGAAAACACGGACCAUAUCUCUUCACUCCCUCUAAAGUCGGACCAAUCCUUGUUAAUUUCUUUUCCUCC